ACCAGGGCCGUAACUAGCCUCUUCAAAUAGUGAGGCAAAAUAUAUCGCCGAGCGGAGCGAGGCAAAAACAUUUGGCGAGGGGACUGGGACCGCUCAAGGCCCCCCAGAAGCUCUGAGAAAAAUAACGCAAAAUCGUGCAUUCUGAGCGUUUCCCAGACUCUUUCUGACAUUGAAACGCAAUUAAUUUUUAGCUUUCUUUCGAUAAUAUUCUGGUCUGAAAGCAAAAACAUAGAUUCAUUGUAAUUUUAGUCUUUAAGGUUUUAUGGACAACGCAAAAUUCGUAAUUCUCCUAAUCAUUAAUACCGGAUCUGUCUGUCUGUUUUAGUCUUGUAUUGUGCUUAGACUUUGGUGACAUUUUUAUGACUAGAUUGGAAUAUAGUGACAGUGCAGUAUUAUGCUUUAAAUACUAGUACUGCUUAAGUCGACACUAGGGACCAUCUUGACCCUGUUUUACGGUAUUAAUGAUUCUUUUAUUGUUGAAGACCCUCCAGCAACUUUGACCAAAUGAUUGAUCAUUAGUAUUUUUUUUAUGACUUUUUUGUGUGCGAUUAGGUUUCGUGCACAUUUACUCCAUAUUCCUUUGUUUUCUGUAAAAGGGUCUGAACAUGACGAUAAUGCAAGUUUAACACAUCAAUGGAAAUGGUCAUAUGGCAAUACAUUAUUGCUUUUUUUUCAAAUUAUUUGAUACCGUAAAAUUGGUGACCUUAGUCUAAUUUAAACCAUGCCAGCUAUCUAGUUUUAUCAACCAAAAGAAGCCAGUUGUGAAUUCUCUGAUAUCAAAUUCAAUUUUCAAUGCAGAAACGACCAUUUUUUUUUUUAUGUCUAGUAUAUUUUUAAAAUAUUUUCUCGCACAAUAUCUGGACAUCAGUGGGCAUGCAACAUUGCAUAACUACACGUUUACAAAUGACUAUUGUCAUAAAGUAGGACAAUAAAUGAGCAAAAGACAAACCCGGGACACAGAAGUUCAAACAACAGACCAUCAAUUCUGAAAACUAAAAGUAAAAAAGAAACAUGGAUCACGAAAAACAUGCAGGGGCGACACCAGAGAGUGAAGAGAACUUGCUUCUUGUUAGACACUUUCCGUGAAAACAAUUUGAAAUUAAGACAAUCUUUUGUUUCAUUUUUUUUUUUUUUUUUUUUUUUUUAAUUUCUAAGAUGAGGUAUUUGCCUCAUUUGCCUCAAUGUAGUUACGGCCCUG
rnacentral:lncRNA from 1 species